CCACCACUAAGCCAGUGGUGAACUCCACAUACGCAUCCUUUGCUGAGGAUACGGUUAACGGAGCGAAAGCGACGUUCAACCUCAAAAGAAGCAGAGGGGGCUUAGUGGUGGGGUGACUGCGUACCUUUUGUAUAAUGGGUCAGCGACUUAUAUUCUGUAGCAAGGUUAACCGCAUAGGGGAGCCGUAGGGAAACCGAGUCUUAACCGGGCGUUAAGUUGCAGGGUAUAGACCCGAAACCCGGUGAUCUAGCCAUGGGCAGGUUGAAGGUUGGGUAACACUAACUGGAGGACCGAACCGACUAAUGUUGAAAAAUUAGCGGAUGAUCUGUGGCUGGGGGUGAAAGGCCAAUCAAACCGGGAGAUAGCUGGUUCUCCCCGAAAGCUAUUUAGGUAGCGCCUCGUGAAUUCAUCUCCGGGGGUAGAGCACUGUUUCGGCUAGGGGGCCAUCCCGGCUUACCAACCCGAUGCAAACUGCGAAUACCGGAGAAUGUUAUCACGGGAGACACACGGCGGGUGCUAACGUCCGUCGUGAAGAGGGAAACAACCCAGACCGCCAGCUAAGGUCCCAAAGUCAUGGUUAAGUGGGAAACGAUGUGGGAAGGCCCAGACAGCCAGGAUGUUGGCUUAGAAGCAGCCAUCAUUUAAAGAAAGCGUAAUAGCUCACUGGUCGAGUCGGCCUGCGCGGAAGAUGUAACGGGGCUAAACCAUGCACCGAAGCUGCGGCAGCGAACGUAUCACUUAAAGCGAUUCAGCGGGUUACGAUUGACGGAGCGAAGCGACGUCAAAGCGUAUACAAAGUCGAGUCGGUUUAAGGAUACGUUCGUUGGGUAGGGGAGCGUUCUGUAAGCCUGCGAAGGUGGCCUGUGAGGGUUGCUGGAGGUAUCAGAAGUGCGAAUGCUGACAUAAGUAACGAUAAAGCGGGUGAAAAGCCCGCUCGCCGGAAGACCAAGGGUUCCUGUCCAACGUUAAUCGGGGCAGGGUGAGUCGACCCCUAAGGCGAGGCCGAAAGGCGUAGUCGAUGGGAAACGGGUUAAUAUUCCCGUACUUGGUGUUACUGCGAAGGGGGGACGGAGAAGGCUAUGUUGGCCGGGCGACGGUUGUCCCGGUUUAAGCGUGUAGGCUGGUUUUCCAGGCAAAUCCGGAAAAUCAAGGCUGAGGCGUGAUGACGAGGCACUACGGUGCUGAAGCAACAAAUGCCCUGCUUCCAGGAAAAGCCUCUAAGCAUCAGGUAACAUCAAAUCGUACCCCAAACCGACACAGGUGGUCAGGUAGAGAAUACCAAGGCGCUUGAGAGAACUCGGGUGAAGGAACUAGGCAAAAUGGUGCCGUAACUUCGGGAGAAGGCACGCUGACACGUAGGUGAAGUGAUUUACUCA
rnacentral:rRNA from 1 species